GAUCAAUUUUGUUGUUUACCUGUUUUUUUUAUUUUUUUUUGGCAAUCUUAAUUUUGUGGUUGAAAUUGUUUUUGGGUUCUGUAUUUGAUGAAUCAAGAAUUGAAGACAUCUUUAGAUCAUCGCUAGAUAUAAUUAUUUUUAAUUAGAAAGGAAUCUGUGUGAAGAAUUGAUCAAUUGUGUUUGCUUGAUGUGUCUGCGGUUCAAUCAAUUGUGGUUGUGAUUCCUGUAGUUAGUGCUUCUAAGGCUGUGUAAUACUUUGUACUUGACAGCCUAUAGGAGACUUGAUUGAUUUUGUGUGCAGAUUUACUUAGUGCAACAGUAACAUUCAAGUACAUAGCUAUCUUGCUCUGAAAUUUGAAUUUCAUGUCAAAGUCAUUUUACUUAAUUUUCAGAUUUGUUUCCUCUGCUUAGGUAAAUUCAUAGUUUAACAUAUAGCAUUGUUUGGUUUCUUGGUAAAUAUGAAAGAAUACAGAAAAUAGCAUACAAUGUCUUUUGUCACUGAGUUUCCUACCUUGAAUGCUCUAUUUUUUUAUAUUUAUAUUACUGAUCAACAGCAGUCUAAUGUCAGUGAUGAUGGAAUAGCUGAACACAUUAAAUAAGUAAAUAUUCAAAAUAACACAACUAAGAAGGAUAUCCUCUGCUUCUAUUUCUAAUGUUGUAUGCCUUUUAUAUGUCAAUGUUCUUAAGGCUCCACUUCUCCAUAUCUUAUAUUAAUUGUAAUGUUUAUCGGCAGUUGCUGGAUAUAAAGAAACAAAGGAAGGAAAAAAAAACACGUAAGAAUAGAAUAAAUAAAAAAACUACACGUAUAUAGAAGCCAUGUUUAACUUACAUAAAAGCAUAGGACUCCUCAUUAGCAUGAUGUAGCAGCAAAAAGUCAUGCUAAAUAUGCAAGCCGACAUAGCAUUUCUGUACUAUAUAUCUAGACAUUAUUAGCCUUUUAUUUUUAGCCAUUAUGUAUAUGGAAGAAUACUACCUUUUGAUUCCCUUCCCUUUAUUCCAAGUCCUCUAUAUAUUAAGGCUCUAAUCUGAGGCUUAUAACACGAGAAUUCAAUUAACUUCUAAGGUAGGCAGGAGAUAGUGUAAUCAGUUCAUGCAUGGAUUGGAUGCUCUAUUUGCCCCAGACUCAUUUCCUUACCUUGCUCUUAUGUUUCAUGUGUUGCUGUUAUCUAUAUCUUAUUGUUUGUUCAAAUUCAAUAAUAUCCCAUGUACAGUUUUAUUCAUUUU